UACGGAGGGGGCUAGCGUUGUUCGGAAUUACUGGGCGUAAAGCGCACGUAGGCGGCUUUGUAAGUUAGAGGUGAAAGCCUGGGGCUCAACUCCAGAACUGCCUUUAAGACUGCAUCGCUUGAAUCAUGGAGAGGCGGGUGGAAUUCCGAGUGUAGAGGUGAAAUUCGUAGAUAUUCGGAAGAACACCAGUGGCGAAGGCGGCUCACUGGACCGUUGUUGACGCUGAGGUGCGAAAGCGUGGGGAGCAAACAGG
rnacentral:rRNA from 1 species